GCGUCCACCCCAGCGAGUUCCCUUCGCCGCUGGGAAAACCGGCUGCUUUAUUUUUAAGGUUAGCUGUCAUUCUUGUCCUCAUCUGAGGAAUGGACUCUGGAAGGCGCCGCAUGAUCCCGCGCGGAGCUCUGGAGGGUUGCUGCAGUUCCCCUGAUGGAAGUGCUGCUGGUCUGGGGCUCACUGUGGCUCUGCUGAGUGGCGGACCCAACGAUCCCACCAGGACAGGCCAUGAGGACAUGCACCGGCCAGCCCCGCAUCAGCGCGCGGGAUGGCAGCCUUGCUGCCCACGGCAAGAGUUUGCCUCUUGACCUUACAUGGGUUAUGUGAACCACAUACUGGCUCAUCGUGGAGCAGAGCGGCCAGCGUGCAUGGCCCUGGGAGCCAGGAGGCCAGGAGGAGAGUGGGCACCGCGUGAGGAAGAAGGAACACAGCUGCCCCCACCCCAGAUGGUGGCGUUGAGGGACGUCCCCAGCUGAGGCGGCAGCAGCUCCUGCCCACCCCUGCCGCCCACCAAGGCUGCAUUCGAGGAGGAAGCGGCAUGGAGGAGCAGACAGAAGACAAGGAGCACACACAGGCCUCCAGGCCCCUGGGAGCCCCUUAGGGCAGACCUGCUUUCUCAGACCCAACUUCCAGCAAGAUCAGGACCCCAGGGGGUUGCCCCAAAGAGCACCUUUAUUCACAGCAAAGGACGUCACCAUGGCAACCACACUUCAAUUCCCUGAGAACUUUUCCAUUAUCCGUCGCUUUCCAAGCUCUGUCUUUGCAGAAAGAAAAACAGAAGACAAAACACACGCCACGGGCCCGGUGGGCCACACCGGGCCUGUGGGAGACAGGUAACGUGCAGGACGGGGCACGGGCAGUCUGCACGCAGGGACACAUAAAUACGCCGGGGGGCUAGGCCUUUCCACCGCUUUGAACAACAAAGAUUAUCUCAA